GUAAAGGUGGGUCACAGGAAAACAGUAUUUGUUUGGAGAGAUCAGAAGCCAAGCCCUUUAAAACAAAAAUCUGCAGUGCUCAUUAAGGUUUUGAGGGAUGUCAGAACAGCGCUAACAUUCUCAAAGGUACACUCAAAGUUUGCAUCAGUGUCUGAAUCCAUGGUCUAGGAUCUUAAAAUUCAAAACACCAAGAACUCUUUCUACCAGGAG
rnacentral:lncRNA from 1 species